GGGAGGAGGCUGCCUCCCCACACUGUAACACCUUCUCUCCCUGACCCCCUCUCCACACUGUAAUCCCUUCUCUCCCUGUUCAGUGUGGGGAGAGAAACAGGGAGAGAAGGGGUUAAAGACUGGAGUGGUCAGGGAGAGAAGGGGUUACAGUGUGGGGAGAUGGCAGGGUCA